ensembl:processed_transcript Gm14123 predicted gene 14123
UUUUUCUUCUUUUAUUCUGAUAAUCAAUCCAUUCUGAGAUUCCAUGCUUUCUUUUUCUUUAAUUUUCUACACUGAAAAUCAAGUCCAGGACCUUGGAUGUAUUAGGUAAAUGUCCAACCUCUGAACUCCCAACUUUCAGAUUUCUUCACAAAACUUUCCUGAUUCAUAUUCAAUCCUCUACCCUCACAGUAGUCAAGAAGAUAGUUGGACAAACUAUUAGAGAUGACUACAAGAAAAAAAAUACAGGAGAACUGCUGAAAACGACAAACAGGAAUGUUAUCACUGAUUUACUGUCAGUAACUACUGUCCCUAUUACAAAAACCUGCAAGGCCGAAUUCUCAGAAACACUGCCAACAAUGUCAGUCGGUUCUCUACUCCACGCUGAGGAGUACAGACUGCGCGGCGUCAAUAGAUGCAGGAGGAGGACCUUCGCAGAAAGGAAACCCAGCAUCUUUUCUGACUUCUCUUUAAGGAAAGUGAAUAACAAGGAACGCGAAAGAAUCGGCUGACGGCAGUGGUCAGGUGGCUGUCCCAGGAGUAUCAGAGGUUCCAACAAGGACAAGUCGGGAAGAUGCGUGCAACUAAAGAAAGGCAAAAGGCGUUGGCUCCAGCGGCUGGGUGGCAAGAAGGGACAGAAAAGGUCCACAGCAGCGUGAGGGAGGACAACCAGGUCCACGCAAGGCCUCGCCCCGCAGAUUGUCCUGUCAGCCCGAACCCGGCUCCUGGGUCCAAGCCGGGAUAAUGAGGAGGGUUCUCUCCCGUGGGAUGAUCCCAGCCCAGGUCCUGCCUACCUGCCCUCCUUGACCUCCGGGACCUGGCCAUCGUCCGUGACGACCUGCGGCCGCAGGGGCCGACGCUGCCGCAGCCCGUCCGCUUCGCUCAUUCUGCCGCCUCUCCACUGACACCUCCAACAGCGCCUUGACACUCAGCAACGCGGGUUUCAGAACUACUCCCUGGCGCGAGGAAAUGACGUAAACUUAGCGCCGGAGCUGCAAUGCAGGCCCCGCCCCCUUUUGGAGAUUGGCACAGCAGUAAGGCUCCACCCCCUGGCCCCAGCCUACAGCUGCAGGCAAAUGGUGAGGGGGUCCCUCCCUCAGUGAGCCGAGUCUGGAUAGUGAGGCUGUAGCGGGUCUUCCUCAAGUCCGAGUGCUGGGCGGUGAAGUCUGCAGUAACAAGCUUGCAAAGAGAAGAUGCCACUGAUUCUUAACGAAAUGUGUUCAAUGCAGUAAUCCCCGCCUGAACUGUUAUCUUUUCUGAAAAGAUUCCGCUAAAGUUCAAAAUGUGUCCUUUUGGUUAAGAUCAGAUUUUGACUGCUAGAUCGUCAAGUGGUUAUACAAUAGACAUUUGAUAAAUUUUCUAAAGGGAGUUACCUAAAGACAGGCCCAAGUAGAAAAGACUGCUAAUAGCAAAACUUUAGGAAUCAUGAAGCAACCACCAGGUAGUGCUUCCACGGUAUUACAGCGAGUCGGACAUACUCCAGGAGGUGAAGUGAGCAGACUGCAGGCAAAUCCCUCCUUUCUGGAACUAAUGAGAGCCAUGACUUCAAUACAUGUAAAUUUUAAUACAGUGGUGAUUUUAAAGAGAGAAACUUGGUCUAGUGGAAGCAUUUAGCCGGUGAAGGAAUGUGGGGGUAGGAUUGGAAGAGAAAGGGCGGACAGGAGAAUUUCAGGCAGCAAUAACCAAGUAGGGCAUUGGGAAGGAUCUCUAGGAUAUAGGUGCUGGAUUUUGUACCUCACUUGGGAUUUUACAGAAGCAAACAUGCCAUUAUCUUUUCGGCACUAGAUGGCGAUAGAAUGCCACCUCAAUGUUCUUUUUCCUCUCGCUUGAGGGAAGUGGAGAUUUCUUAACACAGUUCUGUAGGGAUCUCAGGUUAUAUAUAAUCCAAGGCUUGGCAACAUGGUACUUGAUUCCAUCAUUGAAGACAGACAUUAUAAAGAUAAUAUCGUGGGUAAUUGUAACAACUGCUGUGUGGGUCUGGCGCCUACCUGGAGACCUGAAUGGCUUCCCCUUCUGAUUGCAUGUCUCUGACUUUGUCAUGUUACUCCUUGUUUCCUUGUGAUACGUUUUUUUUUCUACCUCCACCUAAACCACUUUUAUCAUCCAGAAUCCAUCUCAAGAGUCAUUGCUGAAAAUCUCUCAUUAACUCUCCAGAGUAUCCCCGUCUGUGGGAGGCUCUGUGAACAUUCCUGAGCUGUCACAAGUAGCCAGUUACAUCCAGUGCCUGUUACAUGGAUUAUGCGUAUCCUAUGCCCAGUGUGAAACACAUGGGCCAAAACAACCCGGAACACACACACGAAGAAUAAAAAAGAGUUGAAUACACUGAACUUCCUACAUAAAAGGAAUUCACCAGACGACCUGUGAGCUCCUCAGUUAUGGAAGACUGUUCAUGAAAUUCAGGGCUAAAGUUAGAAAUGGUCUUGGAACGGAUCGGUUAGAGUUUGUAAACUAGGAAAGUGUCUGGAAGAGCCAGUGGCCAUAUCUCUAAAACAAAUAAGUCCACAGGGAAUUGCUGGGAGAUACACUCAUGGCCUUAUCUUGAAGCACAUGAGUCUGAAUAAGCUGGGGUUAGAAUAGGCUGAGCUUCGAUCAUUUGUGUUAUGCAAUAUGACUUAGGGGUUUUCUGUUUGCAAGUCACGGUAAAGUCCAUUCUGCUUGUUG